CGGUGCCCCCAUGUGCGGGCUGCACGCAUGCCCCUGCCCGGGGGAGGCUGGCACUGCUCCGCGCCCGACGCGCAGCCAGGGCAGGGAUCAGGGCGCGGGCUCGCACAUUUGUUAUUACCCUGAAAUAGAAUAGUUUUCUGAUAGCGUACUGUUAGGUUAACAAUAAUUUGGAUUAUUAAGAAGUAUUAGCUUUACAGCUGAACACAAGGCAUGACCUGUGGCCUAGCAAUGCAGCUGACCACAAGGCAAAAUGAUACCUAAGCCUUUCCUUGUGUCAUGUAAUCAUUUUAAGUGUAUUAAGCAUUUUCUGAGUUAAAAAGUGGAUCUGUGUCUGUGUGCUGAAAAAUCAGCUACAGCAAGAAGUAAGAUAAGACAGGGAAGCCAUUGUUCUGGGUACACUGGUUGCGUCCUUGAGAAGUAUCUACUACUGUAUAAGGUUUUGCUAACAUAUUAUAAUGUCACUCUUACUUAACUUUCAGCUUUUAAAAAGUGCUAGUUCAGCUUAAUAGAAAUAUGCUGUUACAAAGAUUUGAAAGCACCGCCCAAGUAUUGCUUUUUUUGUUAACCAUGUAGCCUUGCCUUUUUGUAAUAAGUAUAAAAGAUCGCCUCACCCUUGAGGGGGGGCCAUUUUGCCUUUUGCUGGCUUUAUGGUCUUUGCUCAAGCAAAUAAACAGCUGUCUUUCUUUACCCGCGUUGUCUGUCAAUCAGAUUACAGCUAGACAACGAACCUUAGGGAGGUUUCUCCCACCACAAUUUGGCACCCCAGAUGGGACCCGUCUAGCUUGGCGCCUUUGGAGACCUCCAUGCCCCGACACCCCAGCGCGCACCAGGUGAGUUCACCUAUUUGGGUCAGUCUCGGGAGGUGGACGGUCCCCUCAGGACCAAUAAGGCGGGAUCCUCAAGUCGGGUAAAGGAACGGUACCGGCGAAUACCUCAGGUCAGGUAUGCUGCUUUAAGCCAACCCCUCCCUGCCGAUGUCCCAGCACAUCGCAUCCAGCCUGGAGACUGGGUGUAUGUAAAAACUUGAAAAAGGUCUCCCCUUAAACCUAAGUAGCAAGGACCGUAUCAAGUCCUCCUCACCUCCCACACCGCCGUAAAAGUAGCAGAAAAGGACAACUGGAUUCAUUCUACUCGUACAAAGAAGACAGAAGUUUCACCAGAGCUCAGGAUCGGCUCCAACGCAAGCUUCCCUGACCUGGAAAAGGGGAAGCCAGAAGAAGACGACUGCGGAUUUUGCGGGAGCACCGCACGCCCACCUGACCACGACAAGGGUGAGCCAGAAGCAGAUGAAAAAAUAAAACCAAACACCUCCUGGACCUGCAGCCCGUUAGAUAAUAUAAAACUCAAACUAACCAAGGUCCACUAAUAAACUGUCACCCUUUUGGGGUCCUGCCCAGCCCAGAGAGCACCGAACUCCAAGUACUGCAUCCUCUAGACACUUUUGGAUCAGCUGAAACCGAGCACUUUAAAACUGUAACAUGUCCCAGAAGAUCAGUUAUUGGGGAUGCAGGGUUGUGCAUACUGUUUGUGCUGAUUUUUGUUAUAAUAUGGUUUUUAUAACUAUGUUAUUUCUAAUCUUUCUCUUUGCUGGAAAAAUAAGUCUCUCACAGGGGUCGGCUAUAGCUGCCAGUUGCUGCAGAUGUGCUAAUCCUGGUGCCCGAGGUUUUCCUGUCUGGAUAAGCGAUUCAAAUCGAACUCUCUGAUAUAGAUGGGAAGGUCAACAUUGCCCGUUGGCAUCCUCCCUCACAUUGCUGUAGUUCAGCAGAAGUUCAGAUAUUUACUUAUAAAACAAAAUAUUGUGUAAAGCCCAGCCACCCAGUUUUCAGACAAUUUGCAGAGUCUCCUCAGGCUAAAACUACUCUUAAACAUGCUGUUGCCCAUAUCUCUGAUAACAAUAUAUACCUCCAAUACGUUGAGAGAGCCGCUAAAGCAGAAAAGCAAAGUGAUUGCUGGGUGUGCAGUCAUUUUCCUCUCCACACCCAAGGAGGCAUUCCCAUGACUCCCAUCCCCUUGGGCCCCAUCGAGUCACUUUUAAACCCCUCUAAUAACCAAGCUUGGAACCAAAGUCAGCAGGAGUUCCUUUUAGUAAAGCCUGUUGUUGGAGAUUGGUGUGUCUAUGUAAACUGCUCAGUAUCAGACUGCAUUAAUUUAGGCACAAGCAUAUGUCACCACUAUUUUACUAGUUCAAGUGGAGGAGACUGGCGUAAUAAUAACACAACAACUCCUACCUAUUGCAGCUCUUACAAUGAUUUCUACAGCAGCAAAAAUUUAACCAAGGGCACUAAUCCUAUCUGCACCCCCCAUCUCCUCUUUAAAUAAUACCUUGUGGUAUUGUUUGUACACUGAUACCUCCCGGGGACAAUGCUUCUUCAAUGGAACUGCAAAUCCUUCCUUUAAAUCAAAGGGUGAACGCGGGGUGCUAGGAUUAGGAAACGGGGGCCGAAUACCUCUGUGGUAAAAAUAUAGCAUAAUCUAUAUUUUCCUGCUUUUAUAAUUGCUUCUGCAUAUUUUCAUAAUUGCUUUUGCUAAGGCAUAUAUGCUAAUGAUAGAUUUACGAGUAUGCACAAAGACUUCUACAGACAGAGCCAGGAACAGAUGCAAUAAAUAACUCCUUACGAGAGAUAAGAGAAGAGGGUCAGGGAAGAUGCUGAGGUGGAGAGACCAGACCCUGACCGAAGGAUGACCGCGAGGGGCUUAAGAACUGCCCCUGGGAGGGGAUUUAAGAUGUAAAUGAGACAUGUAUGUAAACCAUCAUAGAACAUGUAACUGCUAGACAUACGAUGCAAGACGUAAUGCUAAGUCUGCCAAUAAUUGCACGAUACGUUGAAAUCUAUUGUUUACCUUGGCUAUAAAAAGACGUUUCAGACCCAGUUUGUGGUCGACCCUUGAUCUGAGUGGCACAACUCCUGGGUCGGUCUGUUUGCAAACAAAUAAAUCUGAAAUUGGACCUAGCCUGUGUGUGACUCUCUCCUGGGGUGGAUUGGACAAGCCUCCAGGGGCACGAAACUAGCCGUUUGUGCAACACUCCUAAGUAUUCAAACCUCGCUGCUUUAAAAGGACAAUACUGGGUCUGUGGCUCCCACACCUACCAUAAAAUCCCUGCCAAAGGAAAAGAUAUUUGCUAUCCGACAAUGCUAAAACCCUCUACAUCCUUCGCCACACACCUUCCACGGGGCAGGUGGCAAAACAAGAGGGAUUUGCAAGAAAGCUGUGAUAUAGUAGACAAAUAUCAAAAAACUCCGCUUACCAAAGGAGUAUUAGUCGGGUGUUCUUUAGCAGGUAUACUCCCAGGAGUAGGCACUGCUUGUCUUGGAAGAUUUACACUAUGCCUGCAAGCUGUGAUAAAAAUCAUGGCUCAUAAAUUCAAUAAAGGUCACAAAGACCUCUCGAAGGCCGUUGCUGCCUUGGCUAACACCCAAGAAGAACUCCGACAAAUAAUAAUUCAAAACGGUAUAGCCCUUGAUUUUCUCCUUGCUGCUCAAGGGGGAGCUUGUGCGGUUAUCGGACCAAAAUGUUGCGUUUGGGUUAACAGUUCUUUUACAAUAGUACAAACCCACCUCAGUGAUGCAGCUGUCCAUAUCCAGAAAGCCGAAGAUGUAGCUAAAAUCCCCAAAGAUGCAUCUCUUAGCUGGCUUACUAACUGGUUCUCUUCCCUUACAGGAUGGCUUAGACCUUUUAUGCUAAGUAUAAUUAAAACAUUUAUAACUAUAGUCUGCCUGUUAUGUUGUUUCCAGUGUUUAUGCUCAAUAAGACAACAGUUUAUACAAAGGCAAAUAAAAAUAUAUGGUCAGUUUGUACAAAUAUCCAGCAUCAAUCAUCAAAACCUAACCCCACAAGAAGUUGAAUACCUAAAAGUGUGUUCCAAAAUUUCCUCUGGAAAAUUGGAACAAAGGGAGGAAUUCUAGUGUGCAGGUUUGUUAUUACCCUGAAAUAAAAUAGUUUUCUGAUAGCAUACUGUUAGGUUUACAAUCAUUUGGAUUAUUAAGAAGUAUUAGCUUUACAGCUGAACAAAAGGCAUGACCUGUGGCCUAGCAAUGUAGCUGACCACAAGGCAAAAUGAUAGCUAAGCCUUUGCUUGUGUCAAGUAAUCAUUUUAACUGUAUUAAGCAUUUUCUGAGUUAAAAAGUGGAUCUGUGUCUGUGUGCUGAAAAAUCAGCUACAGCUAGAAGUAAGAUAAGACAGGGAAACCAUUGUUCUGGGUACACUGGUUGAGUCCUUGAGAAGUACCUACUACUGUGUAAGGGUUUGCUAACAUAUUAUAAUGUUGCUGUUACUUAACUUUUAGCUUUUAAAAAGUGCUAGUUCAGCUUAAUAAAAAUAUGCUGUUACAAAGAUUUGUAAAGCACCGCCCAAGUAUUGCUUUUUGUUAACCAUGUAGUCUUGCCUUGUUGUAAUAAGUAUAAAAGAUCGCCUCACCCUUGAGGGGGGGCCAUUUUGCCUUUUGCUUGCAUUAUGGUCUUUGCUCAAACAAAUAAACAGCUGUCUUUCUUUA